AGGCAGACAGUGAUGGGGAUGGAUACCUGUCCUGUUUCCAGGUGCUUCUGGCCCUGAAGGAGAUCAUCCCCUCUGAGCUUCUGUCAGAGGAAGAGGAAAUCUACGUCUACAGAAUCCUGGAGCUGGUGGAUGUUCAGGUAGCUGAGGGGGUGAUGAUGGAUGAGCGUCUGUUUGCGGUGGUGGCUAGCCUGGCUCACAAAGUAGCAACACUGGAUGACUUUAUGCGCUCUCUCAUCAGUCAAAUGGACUUCAGGUCCUUGGAGAUGAGACUAUACAAAGCAAAGCAGCUCUUCCUGUUCCUCCUGGAGGCUCAGACAGGGGGCGCUGUGGCGCCGACAGAGGGCUGCAUCAGCACGGAGCAGCUUCUCCUGGAGCUGAAGGCCGGGGGACUGCGCCGCGACCAGGAAGAGGCCGUGCUGCGGGAACUCACACACCUGGGCGCUCUGGACCUGCUCGACUUCCUCGCCUACCUGCCCCUCUUCAUCCUCAUUCACAACUCCGUGGUCAACAACCCACUGGACGACACACCCAAUCUGUGAUAUCACACACACACACACACACACACACACACACACACACAAAUGCAACAUGCAAGGAUUAAAACACAUGCACAUAGAAAAUGACACAUAAAGCAUGAAGACAUAUAAUCAAACAUACAUGAACAUGACCCCAGCCAUUAGACUCCUAUUGAUGAAAUCACACAUAUGUCAACGCCGUGUGAUCAUAAAGUACCUGAGGAUCACUCCAGGCCUUAAGGGGAAGAAAGCGCACUCACACACACUCACACGCACUCUUCUGCACAUUAGACUGCACAGAUCUACAUCUGAUCCGUUCAUACCAGAUCCUGGCCUGAUCCACUCCAGGCCUUUGGGAUAUUGCUUGCCUAUGAAAGAGUGCUGUCUAUGGUACUGAAAUAUGGAGCAGGCUAGUCUGAGAGACUGGGUUUCUGUGCAGUGAUGAGGUGUAUGCCUGUGUGUAAGUGUGUGUCAAUGUGUUGGAUAUGUGGGGGGUGCCAGAUAUUUAAUAAUAAUGUUUGUUUUCUCUCGUCCUGACAUGCUUUUCUAAAAGAAUAAAAAAUAAAAAAACAUCUCUAUGUUUUUUCUC
rnacentral:lncRNA from 1 species